GCAGCCAAAAUCAACGAGACAGACACCUUCGGUCCCGGAGACGACGACGAGAUCCAGUUCGAUGACAUCGGCGACGAUGAUGAGGACAUCGAUGAUAUCUAAAGACCUGCUACUGGAGGGGGAAGGUGGGAUUUUACUAGAGAUGCUCCGAUUGGGAUAUUUUGAGCCGACACACGCACCAAUAACCAUUAUUUUUAUUAAGAUCAGCCUAUGCCAAUCCAAUACACUUUAUCGAUAUACAGUAUGUUUCAAUUUAUUCCAGUUUGUUAACCAUCAGUAGACGUCUUUGUUGUUUUUUUUGAGAAAUUUUAAGUGCAUUUCACAUAGGGGGGGUUAAAACAGGAAAAAACCGACACCAGUACUUUGAGUUCCUCGUUGACAUGAAUGAAAAUGAGAUGCCGCUUUAGUGCGACAGUCGGAGUUCUCACUCGUAGAGCUGGAGGCGACGCAGCAGGCCGCCUGGUGACUGAACCAUGACGCAGACGGUUUGCCUUCAUGCGGUUGGAUUGGAGAAUCAACAGUAGGCUGAUCACCAGCAUCAUAUUUAGGAUGAACAUCUGGAGCAUUUCUAGAUUUUCACCUUUUUUUUUUUUUGCUUUGAACAUCAACAAAACGGCAAAUUAUCCAUCACUGAUUUUUUUCUUUUUUCUUUCCUGCAUUAUAAUAAGAAUAUUAUUGCCAGAAUAACACUCAAUAUUUAGGAGAAGCUGUAGCCGAUACUGCUAAAUAUCUCAUGCGGCAUCUUUUUGAAAAUGUAUUUAUAUUGAUUUCACACUAUGUGGAAUUUAGCGACAAGUACAGAAUCUCUGGAUUCGUCAAUAAAAAGAUAAACCAGUUUGUCUUUUCCUUUGGCAGUCUGUCAUUGCAGCCUGUAGAUCAGCUCAUACACCUAUAGGCAGUUUAUAAGCUGUUUAUCGACGACAAAGAAAGAUUAAUAAUAACACUCGGCUCUUUUUCUUAGCGUCACUGACACCGUGUUACGAUGAACUAUUUGCUCGUUUUGAACCAUGGCCCUAAUGAAGGCGAUCCCGCUCCCCCGAAAUCAAAAAGAAGACUCGAAAUGUAUUUUUCUAUUGUUUCCCUUUUUUGUGUUUUCUGUCUGUUUGUGUUUCCAUGUUCUGUUUUUGAACUCUUCGCUGCUCGCUCUGUGGCGUCAACACUCGCUCACGGUCUCUCCAGACCAGCGGUUCCCAAACCUUCCCACCGCCGUCUCUCACACACACACACUCACACACACACACCUGUAAAACCUCAGAUCAGAGCAGCCACUCUUACAGAAAACCAGAUAUACGGAUAGUUUAUUAGUUCCCCACUUUGACUCCUCUCUGGGAACUACCCCGUGUUCCCUGAGGGGGGCCGGCACCUCAGUUUGGGAACCACUGCUCUGAACCAAAUGGGCCCUGUCGCUGUUGUUGCUGUAACUCUGAAUUAAUAAAAAAAAAUGUACUAUGAUGUUUGAAGGCUGGGUUUCCAAUAAAGAUCUUAACUCCA